rfam:Callithrix jacchus chromosome 10, whole genome shotgun sequence
CGGGCAGUGGUGGCACAUGCCUGUAGUCCCAGCUACUCGGGAGGCUGAGGGGGCAAGACUGCUUGAGCCCAGGAAUUCUGGGCUGUAUGUGCUAUGCCAAUCAGGGUGUCCGCACUAAGUCUGGCAUCAAUAUGGUGACCUCCCAGGAGCCGGGAACUAUCAGGUUGCCUAAGGAGGGAUGAACCGGCCCAGGUCAGAAAUGGAGCAGGUCAGAACUCCCGUGCUGAUCAGUAGUGGGAUCGCGCCUGUGAAGAGCCCUCAUCCAUGGGCAACAUAGCGAGACACCAUCUCUC